rfam:Schistosoma mansoni, Puerto Rico, WGS project CABG01000000 data, contig: 0183
AUCCAACUGACGAGUCUCAAAUAGGACGAAACGCCUGUUCUGGAU